UACGGGGGGGGUAAGCGUUGUUCGGAAUUACUGGGCGUAAAGGGCUCGUAGGCGGCCAACUAAGUCAGACGUGAAAUCCCUCAGCUUAACUGGGGAACUGCGUCUGAUACUGGAUGGCUUGGAUUUGGGAGAGGAAUGCGGAAUUCCAGGUGUAGCGGUGAAAUGCGUAGAUAUCGGGAGGAACACCGGUGGCGAAGGCGGUUCUCUGGGCCUUACCUGACGCUGAGGAGCGAAAGCGUGGGGAGCGAACAGG
rnacentral:rRNA from 1 species